UUUGAACUUGGCACGCCUCACUCACACUGCAACUUCGACCAUGAUUAACAAUGGAGUCUGCACUCUCCGCACCUGCUUCCGUUUUCCAGAGAGGUCGUUAUUCCCAUCAUUGCAGCGCUCGUUCACUUUCCGGCGGCGGUUUCUGGUGACUGCAUCCCAAAGGAAGAACAAAGAAAAGGUUAUUGUCAUUUCUGGACCCACCGGUUCGGGCAAGAGCCGCCUCGCAUUGGAACUCGCUAAGCGCCUCAACGGCGAAAUUGUCAGUGCAGACUCCGUCCAGGUGUAUCGGGGGCUUGAUGUUGGAUCUGCAAAGCCUUCCCCAGAUGAAAGAAAGGAGGUACCACAUCAUCUGGUUGACAUACUGCACCCAUCUGAAGACUAUUCUGUUGGGCAGUUUUUUGAGGAUGCAAGGCAAGCUACAAGAUGUAUUCUUGACAAUGGCCGUGUUCCCAUAGUUGUUGGAGGCACUGGAUUGUAUUUAAGAUGGUUCAUAUAUGGAAAGCCAGAUGUACCUAAAGCUUCUCCAGUGAUUACAUCUGAAGUAAAUCAAGAAUUAGCUGAACUACAAAGGAAUGAAGACUGGGAUACAGCUGUACAGUUGGUGGUAAAAGCAGGUGAUUCAAAGGCUCAAUUUCUAGCAGCAAAUGAUUGGUAUCGAUUACGACGUAGCCUAGAGAUUAUUAAGUCUAGUGGAUCACCUCCUUCUGCAUUUCGGGUACCAUAUGAUUCUUUCAGGGAACAGGGUGAAUGUAGUGUUACUGAGGAUUCUGAGUCAUCUGAUAUGAACACGUACGGUGAUGGAAUGGAAGAAACCAGCUCAUCAGAGUUAGACUAUGAGUUUAUGUGCUUUUUCCUUUCUAGUCAUAGACUUGACCUCUAUAAAUCAAUUGAUUAUCGGUGUGAAGAUAUGCUUUUAGGGAUGGGAUUUUGUCCGAGGCUCAGUGGCUUCUUGAUGCGGGUCUUCAUCCAAACUCCAAUUCUGCAACUAAAGCAAUUGGUUACAGACAAGCCAUGGAGUACUUACAAAGAUGCAGAGAGCAAGGGGGUCAGAGUUCUGCUGCAGAGUUUUACAAAUUCUUGUUUGAAUUUCAAAAAGCGUCACGGUAAUGCAUUUUGUUUUUUGAGAUAAAAGUGGCAGAGUACUUCAGUUUUCCUUUUUAGUUAAAAUAUUCUGUAUAUAUUAAAAACUAAUUAUUUUCCUUUAAAUGAUUUUGGUUUCAGUAAAUCUUUGUUCACUGAAUGUUUCUACUGUUAAAAUAUUACAGCUUUGUUGUUAUAAAGUUGAAUUAAAUGAGAAAUUUAGAAUACAGACUACAGAACAUGUUCUUUCAUUGUGUUUGAGAACUUUUAAGACCAUGAGAGGAUACUCUAUCUCUUUCUCGUGUCUAACAACCAUUUGAGUUCACUUGGACCAACACGUGAAAUGUGCAAGAGGAAGCACUGCUUCAAUUCUGAACCUCUUCUAGGAAUUUUUCCAAGCUAGUUCAUUCCAAAUCUCUAUCGGCUGCCUUCAAAUACUAAAACAGGGAUUGUAAAUAAAGAAGAAAAGAAAAGUGCUACUAUGAUAAGUUAUUCUCCAGUUCAAAAGGGCAAGAUAUAAAUAUGAAUUUUGCAAAAAGGCAGUUGACAUGGUUUCGUAAUGAAAAGAUAUACCAGUGGCUUGAUGGUUCUAAACCUCUGGAAACCAUUCUCAGUUUCAUUAAUGGCGCAUACCAUGACUGGAAUGGAAGUCUUCGUGUGCCUGAACACUUAAGAAUGUCGAGAGCUAUUUCUAAUCGCCGAGAAGAAACACAAAUAAAGUCUUACCGCACCAGAAAUAG